rnacentral:rRNA from 1 species
AUUGAACGCUGGCGGCAUGCUUUACACAUGCAAGUCGAACGGUAACAGGGUGCUUGCACCGCUGACGAGUGGCGAACGGGUGAGUAAUGCGUCGGAACGUGCCGAGUAGUGGGGGAUAACGCAGCGAAAGUUGUGCUAAUACCGCAUACGUACUGAGGUAGAAAGUGGGGGACCUUCGGGCCUCACGCUAUUCGAGCGGCCGACGUCUGAUUAGCUAGUAGGUGAGGUAAAGGCUCACCUAGGCGACGAUCAGUAGCGGGUCUGAGAGGAUGAUCCGCCACACUGGGACUGAGACACGGCCCAGACUCCUACGGGAGGCAGCAGUGGGGAAUUUUGGACAAUGGGCGAAAGCCUGAUCCAGCCAUGCCGCGUGUCUGAAGAAGGCCUUCGGGUUGUAAAGGACUUUUGUCAGGGAGGAAAUCCCUAGCGUUAAUACCGCUGGGGGAUGACAGUACCUGAAGAAUAAGCACCGGCUAACUACGUGCCAGCAGCCGCGGUAACAC